UAGUAAAUCAUAACUUCGAGUUGAGUUAUAAUAAAAAAUGAAGUAAUAUGUACACAUGAUUUUUAACCUGAAAUUACAAAGUAUUACAGAUAAAUUAAUGGACAUUAAACCUCAUAAAAAGGCUUCUUAGAGGCUAAAAUCAAUAACUGAAAAAAUCAAACAUGGUCUCCACCAUGACUGUUAUGAAACAACCUUAGUCGAGCUUAAACUUGGAUCUGCACGGGAAUGAUGUUACAAUCAAAACUAUGGGUAUUCAAAUUCGAAUCUUCAUAUUUCAAAGAGAUCUUUCAGCAUAACGUUGUUGGAUCAAGCUCUUCAUUUCACCAAACAAAAACCACAAAAUGAAAACAUAGGUGGUGAAAAUGGUACCACAGUAUUGUAUGCAAUAUGAGGUGGUGAAAAUCAUACCACUGCUGUGAUUCAAGAGAUAUUUUCGCGAGUAUACACUGUUUAAUAGGGAUGGCAAACUGGGUAUUGGACGCGGGCCUGGCCCAAAAGGGUUUGGUGCGGGGCGGGUUUGGGCCUAGGAAUUUAUGACCCGCAAAAAAGCGGGCUUUGCGGGAUGGGGCUUGCACGGUACCGGGUUAAAAGCGGGAUGGCCCAGAUGAACCGCGGGAUAGCCCAGAUGAACCGCUAGAAGCUUCAGUUGCUUUCGUCACCUGAAAACAAAACGAAAGAGAGAGAAUGAGAGAUGACGACGAUGGCUGUGGGAAGCGAUGACGAUGAUGGCUGUGGGAAGCGAUGACGACGAUGGCCGUGGGAAGCGAUGGAGCUCUGGCCGUGGGAAGAGAUGGAGCUCCGACGAUGGCCGUGGGAAGAGAUGGAGCUCCGAUGAUGGCCGCAGGAAGAGAUUGAGCUCCGACAAUGGCCGUUAGAUGUCCGACAUGCGACAAUGCUUCUGGUGACCACAUCGUGUUCAAUCUGCAGCAGAGGAGGUUCUCUUCCUUUUCGUUCCACCAAAAGAAGAAUGAAAUUGCCAAAGCUGUUGAAGAGGAGCUCGAGAAGGCAAUGUCUGCUUACGGUUUUGAGAUUUUGCAAACUCUCAUCGUUGACACUGAGCCUGAUGAACAUGUCAAACAAGCCAUGAACCAGUGAGAUGUUGCCUCCUUGCACCCAGAGAAGAAGGUUGGUUCUCGUUGCAGGAGCUGAAACAGAGGCUUGUUAAGCUGAGAGAGGUGGAAGAGGCAGCAGCGCAGGGAACGAGGAAAGGGAUUGCCUUCGAUGAUCCUCAGGUCUGAUAUUCAACAAGCCAGAAAAUCACAAGCCUGUUGCUUAGUUCUUGAAUCAACGAAGCUGAGAAGAAGAGAGAGGAAGAGGAAUCAAAGGAUUCACAAGUCCUUUUGCAGGGAUUGCACGUAUACUCGUGAAAACGGCACUGCAAGCAGCAGCAAAGAAGAGAGAGAUGAGAUACUCUGAUCUGAAGAAGAUACAGAGACUUUUUGUAAUCUUAUAAUUGUUGUGGAUGAUGAAUGAAUGUAGUUCUUUCGCUGUACUUUUGUGUUGUGUGAAACUCUCACGUUUAAUAGAGAAACCCAUUCUCACGUUUA